rnacentral:rRNA from 1 species
AGUGAACGCUGGCGGCGUGCCUAAUACAUGCAAGUCGAACGAAUUGGCUCACGGGUGUGUAAUAUAUAUUUAAUCUGCCCUACACAGACGAACAACAGUUGGAAACGACUGCUAAUACCUCAUAGUGUAGGAUGAGACUAUAUCGUGUCAGCUAGUUGGUAAGGUAAUGGCUUACCAAGGCUAUGACGCGUAACUGGUCUGAGAGGAUGAUCAGUAACAGUGGAAGUGAGACACGGUCCAAACUGCGACGGGAGGGAGAAGUAAGGGAUAUUGCGCAAUGGGGGAAACCCUGAAGAAGGAACGCAGCGUGGAGGAAGACACUUGUGGGAGCGAAAACUCCUUUUAAAAGGAAAGCGGGAACAGAAGAAAAAGCACCGGCUAACUCCGUGCCAGCAGCGGCGGUAAUAG